AGCUCAUGCUUCAGUGCUCUGGGAGAGUUUAUAGCUCUGUCAGUUUAACACUUCAUGACUGAGAGCUGAUCUACAUGAUCACACAUCAAAAAGCCAUCAUGACUUUAAUCAGCAUCUUUAUCUGGAUGCUUGUUACAUCUACUUUGGGCUCUUUAGGGCAGGUUGUGGUCACUCAAACUGCAGCAAAAUCAGCUCAGCCUGGUCAUUCAGUCACUAUUGACUGCAAAUCAAACACUGUAGUUUAUCGGAAUGAGCAAUGGACAGCUUCCAAGGGCCGUUAUUAUACAUCCUGGUACCUUCAAAAACCUGGAGAGCAGCCAAAGCUUCUGAUAUAUUAUUCAGAUGAGAGAUUUUCUGGAGUUUCCUCUAAGUUCAGUGGUGGUGGAGGUCAUCCUUCAUCUGGAGGGAAUGGUCUGGACUUCACUCUGACCAUCAGUGGAGUCCAGGCUGAAGAUGCUGGGGAUUAUUACUGCAUGACUAUACAUCAGAUCAGUGGUAGCGGGGUGUUCACACAGUGAAACAGCAUCAUACAAAAACCUCCCUCAGUCACGCUGAACUGCUGCAGCUGGAGCUGAUGAUAUGCUUCAGAGUCUAAUCUGACGCACCCACACACGUCCUCACAUGUUCUACUGUUGUGUUUAUAACAGCUGUAAAAUAAUUACAGUUUUACAAUCAUUAGGAAAAUGUUUUACCAUAUACAUCCAAACAUUUCACACUCCACUCUGCAGAAAUAUGCAGCUCAGCACAACAGUUCAUGUUAUGAGCUAAAUGCUCUAUAGCUGUAAAAAGCCUGCAGAAACAUCUCAAAAUAAAUAAAUAACAUGAUAAUAAGAUUAUAUUCAGGGACUCCCCAGAUUUUUUUUGGUAUUUCAUACCAAAGAUUUAUCCAUAGUUCUCUCAUAACAUCCAGCACAGUCAGCAUUAGGCUUUACUUGUAAAUGAUACUUCAGGCUCGACGAACUUGGGUAAUAAACAAAUCCGGGUAAGGAACACUGUAAAAAACACAACUCACUAGAUAUAACAGAUAAACGCUUUACAGUCUAAUUUCUGAAAAUGUAAGCAUAGUAAUGCUCUGAUAUCUCCAGUGACUUAAACCUGCACUAUCUGCUAUUCUAAUGAGUGUUGUAGACAUUAUUUAAGGAAUGACGCAAAUACUGGAACUGUGCAGUAAAUACAGUGAUUUUUUUUUUGUUAUGAUGUUUUAUAAUGUCAAAUUCAAAAGCAAGUAAACAGUCAUUGUGCAUUUA